rnacentral:rRNA from 1 species
UACGGAGGGUGCAAGCGUUAUCCGGAUUCACUGGGUUUAAAGGGUGCGUAGGCGGCUUAAUAAGUCAGUGGUGAAAGCCCGCGGCUCAACCGUGGAACUGCCAUUGAAACUGUAAAGCUUGAAUCUGGUUGAAGUGGGUGGAACAUGACAUGUAGCGGUGAAAUGCUUAGAUAUGUCGUAGAACACCGAUUGCGAAGGCAGCCCACUAAGCCAACAUUGACGCUGAGGCACGAAAGCGUGGGGAGCGAACAGG